UACGUAGGGCGCAAGCGUUGUCCGGAAUUAUUGGGCGUAAAGAGCUCGUAGGCGGCUUGUCGCGUCGGUUGUGAAAGCCCGGGGCUUAACCCCCGGGUCUGCAGUCGAUACGGGCAGGCUAGAGUGUGGUAGGGGAGAUCGGAAUUCCUGGUGUAGCGGUGAAAUGCGUAGAUAUCUGGAGGAACACCGGUGGCGAAGGCGGCAUCCUGGACCAACACUGACGCUGAGGAGCGAAAGCCAGGGGAGCAAACGGG
rnacentral:rRNA from 1 species